UCAUAGCUAGAGAUCUUCUGAAUAGUUAGUUAUGUGCUUACACAAUGUAUGUAACAGUCAAGAAAAGGGGCUUUUGUUCAGGUUCUAUCUAUUCUAGUCAUUAAAGUCAUUAAAUAUAUGUUUAUACUCCUUAUAAUAUGUAUGAUUGUGUGUUUUUCUUCUCACAGUGAACUGUGUGUAAAUCAUCAACUGCCUGUGUAUCAGCUGAUUUCUACACCAGCUUUACAUCCUGAGCAGAAGAUUGUCGUGGAGAGGACGGACCCUUGAUGCUCUGCCUUCUUGCACCACCAAUACAUACAUGUAUUUUAUUAAUUCGUAAAUAAAGUGUUUAAUGUAA